CCAGAAACAGAGUAAACAGGGUCAGCCAGCGGUGGGGAGCUAGGCGGCUUCUCCUUCCACCUGGCUCGCUCUCCAUUCCGGAGGUCUAGAUGUGUGUCUGUGAUCUGUCAUUCAGUCACGCAGAACAGCCACGCCAAAUUCUGGUCUUGAGAAGAAGCAGCUCGACACAUGUAUUUCUUGUGCUCCCCACUCAGCCAGUGAGGGGAUCCUGGAAAUGCUGAGCCCGCGCGGGUUCCAACCAUCCCAGCCCAAAUGCUACGGGCUGCUGGGGAGCAGAACUCAGCAGGCAGGAAUGAUCCUGGUUGAAAGUAAGAGAAAGAGAGUUCCAUCUUUCCAAUUCUCCAGGAAUCUCAAACUCCCCAGUUUUCACUGCCGUGUGCCACGUUCCAAGAGCUGACCCAGAGGGAGUCCCAUCCUGAAACAGGUGGGCACAGCUGUGUAAACACCGUCCUCACUUUCAGAUACGGUCUACCACCUGUGUCAUGAGGGACGAAGGUGUUUAACUGCCAGUGAGACAUCUUGCAGCAUGCUCUUCCUCUGUUGUGGCAACUGUGGAGCCAUUUGUUGAGAUGGAAGUGUCAUAAGAUCAAAGCAGCCUGGAGCCCUGGGGCACAGGUGUCCUAGAGAACCAUUCAGACCUACAAUGGACUUCAGCUGAAACAGUAAUAAACUUCCUUCAUGUUAAUCCACUAACAUUUGGCAUUAUUUGUUAUAGCAGCAUAGUUCAGCACAUCCUGACUGUUAGAGCUAAUAAAUUUUACACCUCAAACCAUAAGCCAUAGUUUGGUUCCUAUCUACUGUUAAGAGAGACAUAUGCCACUUAUUAGCUGUGGCUUU